GUAGGUGGCAAGCGUUGUCCGGAAUUAUUGGGCGUAAAGCGCGCGCAGGCGGUUCUUUAAGUCUGAUGUGAAAGCCCACGGCUCAACCGUGGAGGGUCAUUGGAAACUGGAGAACUUGAGUACAGAAGAGGAAAGCGGAAUUCCACGUGUAGCGGUGAAAUGCGUAGAGAUGUGGAGGAACACCAGUGGCGAAGGCGGCUCUCUGGUCUGUAACUGACGCUGAGGCGCGAAAGCGUGGGGAGCAAACAGGAUUAGAUACCCUGGUAGUCCACGCCGUAAACGAUGAGUGCUAAGUGUUAGGGGGUUUUCCGCCCCCCUUAGUGCUGCAGCUAACGCAUUAAGCACUCCGCCUGGGAGUACGGCCGCAAGGCUG
rnacentral:rRNA from 1 species